UUACUCCUAAAGGUAUGUAAAAGCUUAUUAUAGAUCCGAUGAGCUUGUACAAUGGAUCAGGUAUCUGACAUGAGCCAUUCACCAAUACUGAGCUAAGAUUCUGAAACAUAAUAGUUCAAUGUAAUUCAUUUUCAACUAAUUAUGGUAAUUUUCAUUAAAAACAAUCAUUUUAGCAGUGAUGACUAUUAGGUACACAGAUCGCCGUAGAAGAAAUCAAAAGAAAUAAUUAAUUGCAAAAAUGUGACAGAAGAAAGUUAUAACAAUGACACUGAUAAGAACUUUUAC